rnacentral:rRNA from 1 species
AGUGUAGGCGGGAUCGUAAGUUAGGAGUCUAAUGCAUGGGCUUAACCCAUGACCUGCUUUUAAUACUGCGGUUCUUGAGUAUGGGAGAGGGCGAUGGAAUUCCAGGUGUAGCGGUGGAAUGCGUAGAUAUCUGGAAGAACACCAGUAGCGAAGGCGGUCGCCUGGCCCAAUACUGACGCUGAUGCUCGAAAGCUAGGGGAGCAAACAGGAUUAGAUACCCUGGUAGUCCUAGCCGUAAACGAUGGACACUAGUUGCUGGAGGAGUCAAUCCUUUCAGUGACGAAGCUAACGCAUUAAGUGUCCCGCCUGGGGAGUACGCUCGCAAGGGUGAA